rnacentral:rRNA from 1 species
UACGGAGGAUGCGAGCGUUAUCCGGAUUUAUUGGGUUUAAAGGGUGCGUAGGCGGGCUUUUAAGUCAGCGGUAAAAAUUCGGGGCUCAACCCCGUCCGGCCGUUGAAACUGGGGGUCUUGAGUGGGCGAGAAGAAGGCGGAAUGCGUGGUGUUGCGGUGAAAUGCAUAGAUAUCACGCAGAACCCCGAUUGCGAAGGCAGCCUUCCGGCGCCCUACUGACGCUGAGGCACGAAAGUGCGGGGAUCGAACAGG